CAAUUGAUGACGAGUGGCGCACGGGUGCGUAACGCGUAUGCAACCUACCUUUUACUGAGGGAUAGCCCAGAGAAAUUUGGAUUAAUACCUCAUAGUAUCAUAAAUGUUCAUGCAUUAAUGAUUAAAACUUCGGUGGUAAAAGAUGGGCAUGCGUAAGAUUAGCUAGUUGGUAAGGUAACGGCUUACCAAGGCAACGAUCUUUAGGGGGCCUGAGAGGGUGGUCCCCCACACUGGUACUGAGACACGGACCAGACUCCUACGGGAGGCAGCAGUGAGGAAUAUUGGUCAAUGGACGCAAGUCUGAACCAGCCAUGCCGCGUGAAGGAAGAAGGUGUUCUGCAUCGUAAACUUCUUUUAUAUAGGAAGAAACUUCUCUACGUGUAGAGAACUGACGGUACUAUAUGAAUAAGGACCGGCUAACUCCGUGCCAGCAGCCGCGGUAAUACGGAGGGUCCAAGCGUUAUCCGGAUUUAUUGGGUUUAAAGGGUCCGUAGGCGGAUUUUUAAGUCAGUGGUGAAAGCCUGCAGCUCAACUGCAGAACUGCCAUUGAUACUGGAAAUCUUGAGUGUAUUUGAAGUGGGCGGAAUGUGUCAUGUAGCGGUGAAAUGCAUAGAUAGGACACAGAACACCGAUUGCGAAGGCAGCUCACUAAACUACAACUGACGCUGAGGGACGAAAGCGUGGGGAGCGAACAGGAUUAGAUACCCUGGUAGUCCACGCCGUAAACGAUCAUCACUCGCUGUAGGCGAUACACAGUCAGCGGCCAAGCGAAAGCAUUAAGUGAUGCACCUGGGAAGUACGGUCGCAAGAUUGAAACUCAAAGGAAUUGACGGGGGCCCGCACAAGCGGUGGAGCAUGUGGUUUAAUUCGAUGAUACGCGAGGAACCUUACCAGGGCUUAAAUGCAGAAUGACAGUUUGAGAAAUCAGAUUUUCUUCGGACAUUUUGCAAGGUGCUGCAUGGUUGUCGUCAGCUCGUGCCGUGAGGUGUCAGGUUAAGUCCUAUAACGAGCGCAACCCCUAUCUUUAGUUGCCAGCGGGUCAUGCCGGGGACUCUAAAGAAACUGCCAGCGCAAGCUGUGAGGAAGGUGGGGAUGACGUCAAAUCAUCACGGCCCUUACGUCCUGGGCUACACACGUGCUACAAUGGUAACGACAGAGGGCAGCCACCACGCGAGUGGGAGCGAAUCCUUAAACGUUAUCUCAGUUCGGAUUGGAGUCUGCAACUCGACUCCAUGAAGCUGGAAUCGCUAGUAAUCGCGCAUCAGCCAUGGCGCGGUGAAUACGUUCCCGGGCCUUGUACACACCGCCCGUCAAGCCAUGGAAGCCGGGGGUGCCUGAAGUCGGUAACCGCAAGGAGCUGCCUAGGGUAAAACUGGUAACUAGGGCUAAGUCGAAACAAGGUA
rnacentral:rRNA from 1 species